UCAUUAUAAACUAGAAGCAGUUGAGCGUGUUAUGAAGUAUUGCCUAUGUUGGCAGUACAGAAAAAGUUGCGAUUGACAAGGCGUAUGGUAGAUUUCUAAGUGAAGAUUUAAUUGCGACUUAUGAUAUUACGUUCUUUGAUCGUUCUUCAUCACAUUUAGAGAAAGCCUUCAAUAGUUUCCCAAACUUAGUAAAUCGUUUUUUAAAAUAAGCCUGAUAAAUGAAAUAGUAAGCAG
rnacentral:antisense_RNA from 1 species